UAGUCGACCCGCUGAAUUUAAGCAUAUCAGUAAGCGGAGGAAAAGAAACUAACCAGGAUUCCCCCAGUAACGGCGAGUGAAGGGGGAUUAGCCCAGCAUCGAAGCCUAUAGACUUUUGUCUGUAAGGCAAUGUGAUGUUAUGGAUUGUGCCUAGGGUCACUGAUCAACUCGAAGUCCAAUAUUGAAUGUGGCUUUUGUAAUUUAGCCCAAAGUGGGUGAUAGGCCCGUGCGAGUUGAUUGUUAGUUAUGUUGAGUGGCCUCUAGAUGCACAAUCUUUGGAGUCGGAUUGCUUGAGAAUGCAGUCCAAAGUUGGUGGUAAACUCCAUCAAAGGCUAAAUACUGGCACGAGUCCGAUAGCAAACAAGUACCGUGAGGGAAAGUUGAAAAGUACUCUGAAGAGAGAGUAAAUAGUACGUGAAACCACAUGUAGGUAAACGGGUGGAGUCCAGCUGCGUGUUUUGGGGGCUUAGCUGGCUAUGUGAAUAUAUGGAUGUUGUGUACUGCCACGUAUUGGUUUGCCGAUAAAGGCAAAUUAGGCCUAACCCUAAUUUGAGUUCUAUCAUGCAAAUAGUUUAAGCCAUACGUGUGUGUGUGUUCGCGUGCCGGUGAUAUUCCUCAAGACUGACAUCACAGUCAAUAUAGCUGCUAGUAUGUGAUGUGUCAAACCGUCAAGUGGUGAGCCUUGAAGCUUAUCCUUGGCGGGACGGCAGAUGAUUUGGACUCUAUUUCAUAUAUAUAUAUACAUAUGUAUGCAUUUUGCGCGUAUUUAUACGUGUAUAUAUGUGUGCGUGUGUGUGUGUGUGUGUGUAUGAAUAUUGUUCGAAUUUAAAGUGUAUAUUUAUAUAUAUAUAUACAUUUGGUUACGGCCAGCCGACCAUCAUGUUGUAAUUGAAUAUAUGUAUACAUUUAACUAUGCAGUGUAUUGGUUAUAGUUUGUGUUUAUGCGCAAUUAAUUAUACUCCAUUAAUGUGUUAUGUGCGUGUUGAGUUAUGUGUAAAAGCGUGCUCAAUGUGUUUUAUGUGCACAUGUGUGUGUGUAAUGAAUUUGUGUAUUCGCGUGAACUGUGGUGCUGUGGUAGAUGUUCCACCUGACCCGUCUUGAAACACGGACCAAGGAGUUUAACCUGUACGCAAGUCAAUGGGCAUUUACGAAACCCACAGGCGUAAUGAAAGUGAAUGAGGUCAUUUUGGUCCUCUUAAGUGUGAUCUUGCAUGAAUAUACUACAUCAUUUAGUACAUGUGGGCGCAACACUGGCCCGUCUCGUGAUGUGGUUGUAUAUAUAUGCAAAUAUGUGUGCACAACAUUGGGGCGGAGCAAGAGCGUACAAGUUGAGACCCGAAAGAUGGUGAACUAUGCAC
rnacentral:rRNA from 1 species